UGCCUGAGUUUUAACAAGUCCCUAACCUGCUGUCUGGAAACGUGUCACAGGCAGAGCAUUUAGAAAUGUUAAGCCUAGCAUCAUCUCAGCAGAUGUUAGCGCUUGGAGGCUAGCAGUGGCAUUUGUAGGACCUAUCAUUUGGGAUGACAAAGAAAUUGUGAGUGGGGAGGGGGUGAGUCACUGGUCUUAAAAAACACCCCCGUACCUGCUGAAAAGGACGGUUAAUAAUACUACAGACACUUCAAGCAAUGUGCUGGAUUCUCCUUCCCAGCGAUUUUUAGUAGUCUCAGAUCUAAGAUGUUCCACCGAGUGUAAAUAUAGCUGUUUAUGCAUGUGUGAGUGUGAAGCUAAAGCAGAGAGUGUGUUGACAUUUCCCACACUUGACUGGACACAUACGCAAACAGGGAUGGGAUGUUGUCCUCAUGCCCUGUUGUAAGCCCCACAGAAACUGGUCACCGUUGGGCCGGCAUCACCCCAAAGAGCAAAUGCAACAUGAAAAGGUAUUUGUCAGGUGCCCAAAUUUCUACAGGAAUAAGGCCUGUCUGAUCUCAGCCUGGCGGGAGUUCCAUAGAAUCAUGUCCGCAAUACUGAAUCUAUAGCUUUUGGUGAAUAUGAACCACCAUGGGGGGGGGGAACCACUAACAGAAACUCUCCUGAGAAAUGUGGAGAUUGGUAUGAGGGACCAGGUAAUGAUGAACAACAGACUCAUUGAUGAGGUGGUGAGGAUUUGAGGCAGUUGUCAUUCAUUUCUUCCUCCUGGACACCCGAUGUGUUUCUAGAUUCACUGAUGAAAUACCAGGUUGUGAUAGUGGCUAAAGUGCCUUCUAGAUAAACAAACCACUGCAUCUGACAAUUGUGCCUGUACCAUUUCAAGAUGAGACUUCUAAUCUCUGGAGGCCACAUGAACUGGAAGAAUUUAAGAGCAAAAUGCAUAUAAGAAUGAAAGAAGAGUCCUAACGGAUCAGGUUAAUGGCCCAUCUAGGGAAGCUUCCUGGCUUCAACCAGUAAGCAGCCAAAUGUUUCUGGAAGCACCUACUGAAGACCUUUCUCUUUCAACAAGCCUUUUAAAAGUUGUGUCUUUCCCCUGUCUGCACCUGCAUUGGAAUGGUUUUUAGACUACCUGCGUCAUGGAGAAGGUGAACUUGAACACCUUUCUUUUUCUGGGGAGGGGGUGGAGGGGAGAGAGAGAGAAAGAGAGAGAGUGUGUGUUUAUUCAACUUUUUUUUUAAAAAAAAGCUUUGCAAUUUUAUUUAAAGUGACCCUAAGAUGUAUCUAAUUACUUUGCAAGGCUUGCUCACUGCUGCCACAUGCUUGCUGUCCAGAGGGGCUACAGCACAACAAAAGGGGGACAGAAAAGUUGCCAGAAUAUUUGUGGCAUGCAAAGUUACAGGAUUUCAGAAGAUAGUUAUGGGACAUGCACUGAUUGAAAGGUAAGGAGUGUGAGCAUCCCAAAACUGUUGUAGUUGCAAACAGUAUGGAAGCGAGGUCAUGUAUGACUGUCUCGAUAGAGUCACGUACAGUGGUACCUCUGGAUACGAACGGGAUCCGUUCCGGAGCCCCGUUCACAUCCAGAAGCAAACGUAAGUAGCGAUGGCUCGUCUGCGCAUGUGCGUGACGUCAUUUUGAGCAUCUGCGCAUGCACAAGCAGCAAAACCUGGAACCAAGGCGCUCUGUUACUUCCGGGUUGCCGCAGAGCGCAACUCGAACGCGCUCAACCCAAAGCACAUUCAACCUGAGGUAUGACUGUACACAAAUUGUCAUGAAUGCACCACAAAAAGGAUGUCUGGAGAGUUCCUGGGGGAAAAGUGCUCUAGGAAUGUUUCUGUGUUUUCUUACUGUGAUGAUGAAUCUGCUGCAACACGAUCCAAUAAAUAUAGUAGGUAAAUGGUUAACAUUUCCCUUUUAGAUAUACACAGCAUAUUACAAUUAUUACAGUAUCAUCAUCAUCAUUAUCCUUCAAAGAGUAGUAGAAGAGACUUGACUAGCAGCCAAAAACAUUUCCUUGGAUCUGAACCCAGUCUCUCCACUCUAACAAAACCUUAUCUCUCUUUGUGUCUUUCUGUGCUGACAAGUGACAGUGUUAAGUGCUUUAUGGAAGCCUCCUAAGCCCCAAGUGGACCAUUUCCAGACAUAACCCAAUCGCAUGCACAGGAAAGGUGGCAGGCACCACUUCCGAGCACUCUGCAGAUGUUCACACAUUAGAAUUAACUUGCAAUUAGGUACAUCGUAGAGCCACUUUAUGCUAUCAGCAGAAUAAAGUUGCAAUAAACUCCCCCUCCCUCCCUUCCUCCCCCCCACACCACUGAAAAAAUAAGUCUUCAGGCUCACCUUCUCUGUAACACAUUUUCCCCCUACAUGCAGGAUUUGAAAAUAAGAUAAAAUGAGGGAUCAUUCAAAGAUUUACUCCACCCCUUCAAAACUCAUACUUCUCUGAAUUUUGUGAUGCCAAUCUCCAUGUAUGAAAUGGGUAGAGGGGGCAAUGAGAGUAGGACUGAGGAGAGAGAAGGAGAAAGUUGAAGAAAUGGGCAACUGAAUGAUAGCCAAGUCAGGUUUUACAAGUCUGCAUUCACCAUACAGUGGAAGCGCAAAAUUGUAGCUUCCUAGAGUUCAAGGUUAGCUAAGUGUGGACAUCCAGACUAUGCUACAUUGUGGUGCCCAUCACCCCUAACUAUUGGCCAUGCUGAUUGGGAUUGAAGUCCAGCAACUUCUGGAGGGCCCAGGGGAUCCACAACCCUGCUAUAUGUAUUGCCAAAGUUUCCUGGACCACAUGGAAGCUGCUGUCACGAUGUUUGCGAGCCAAGUGAGUUGAUUCCUGGAAUGUAUAAUGCAGUUCACAAUCAAAAGGAGCAGCCGUGUCUGGGCGCAGAAAUCAGGACCAUGGCACAUGAGGUGUGGUGGUGGGGCGGGGCCAGUCCUUUCCCUCCAUGCUGCUGUCCCAAUAAAAACUGCCCCACCUCCACAGUGCUGUGAUUCACCCUUGUAGGGGAGCUGCCAUUGUAUACUGUAAUGCCUGGGUACGGCGGCAGCAUCAGCACAUGACGCCUUAUCAGGGGCAUUAGCAGCCCCGUUUUCAAUGUAUAAACCCUGCAAAACCAUGUUGUCAGUGAGAGCUCAGCUAAGUGGCUUGAUUUCACUUAAAAAAUAACAACUCUCGGACCGCCUUGCACUACAUUGUGUAAGUACUAUAAGCUUCCCAUUUGAAAUUCCUGAGUAUUCCUUGCCACCUCCUCUUGUCUCAUGGAUGGCCCUGAAUUUCUCCCUGCCCUUUAGAAGAAGAUUCUGAUGAAUGUGUGACUGAGGGCUUUGUUCAACCCUAAAAAGGUAAAGGUAAAGGACUCUGGGGUUGCGGCACUCAUCUCGCUUUACUGGCCGAGGGAGCCGAUGUUUGUCCACACACAGUUUUUCUGGGUCAUGUGGCCAGCAUGACUAAGCUGCUUCUGGUGAAACCAGAGCAGCGCAUGGAAAUGCCGUUUACCUUCCUGCUGCAGUGGUACCUAUUUAUCUACUUGCACUUGACGUGCUUUCAAACUGCUAGGUUGGCAGGAGCAGGGACCGAGCAACGGGAGCUCACCCCAUCGCGUGUAUUCGAACCGCCGACCUUCUGAUUGGCAAGCCCUAGGCUCAGUGGUUUAGACCACAGCGCCACCCGUGUCUCUUGUUCAGCCCUAGUUAGAAGCUAUUUUUUAAGAAAGUGGCAAAACGACUCCUUCAGCCAGGAUAAGUCAUUUAAAUUUUAAGUUUAAUGCUGAGACUGAUUCCCCCUACCCCCACCACACAUCCAAGAAAUCUUAAAACUGUCUGUUUAAAUGGCAACCGUUGGCUGAUAUUUGUCUUGUUACCUUGUGAUACUGAAAAUAGCUUGUGUGAAAUAUGUUCUUGGAAUGUGGAGGUGGAUCAAACCAAAGCAACAUAAAAAAGAAGCUGGACACAUUUUAGUUCCUGUGGGUUGAACUGAGUCACUGCAAUCUGCAUAUGCUUAUUAAUUAGACCUGAGAGGAUGUGUUGAUCUUUCUUCACUGGUAGUUUGAUGUGUAUUCAAACCAGAGAAUGAAAACCUAGGAGCUAGAGAGAGUGCUCUGGUUUCUCACACCAAGAAAAGAAACAAACACCGCCUGAUUUGCUUCCGAAUGUUGUCUAGCAAGAAAAGAGGACAAGGGCUUCAGCAUUCACACCCAUUCUGAGCAUGCAUCUGAACAUGGGUGAUGUUUUCUUAUCAGCUCUGUCCUGAUGCAGCUAUAAAGUUGCUUCAGUGCACAAUGGCUGUGAUUCAGCACACGGAGAGGUGGUCAUGCAACAUCAACCUAGCCAAGCUCAGAGCUGGCUGCAAGAAAUUGCACUAUUACACGCAAAAUCAAAAUAAAGCUCAGUUCCUUUGAACCCAAUUCUCAUUCUAUUCCAGAUCCAUCACACCCGGUGAAAUCAAUAUUUUGUGGAGGGCUAUAGCUCAGUUGCAGAACAUCUACUUAACUGAAGAAAGUCACAGGUUCAAUCCCCAUCAUCUCCAGGGACGGCUGGGAGAGAAUCUUGCCUGAAAUUCUGGACCACUACCACCAGUCAGUGUAUAUAGCACUGAGCUAGAUGGACCAAUGGUCCGACUCAGUAUCAGGCAGCUUUCUAUGUUCCUGUGUAGCAGAGUGUAAUCUCCGUGAGCAUCCAACACAUCAUGGAAAUGGCUCAGUGGUGCUGGGAAAUUGAUGUGAUCUGCCACCCACUGAUUAUGGUAUGUAGCCAAAGCAAUGAUCCAUGUAUUAAAGAGUGAUGUAAGGAAAAUCUGGGGCGGUAAAUAAAGGUGAAGGGUGGGAGGGGGUUUGGAGACAAGCGGUGACUGGCUGGAUAGAAGGCAGAGUUGGAAGGAGGGCUUAAGUUCCUCUCUGGCUCAGAUUUAAAUCCAAGCCAGAGAAGAACUUUUGUGGUUGUAAUACCUGCUUUGUGUGAAGGCAAGUAUUGCAAGUCUAUUUGGAUGUGUCUCGCAAACUGUGUUUGGAUGACAUUUGGAUCCAUCACGAGUUGUAACAUGCUAGAAUUCUGCCUGUGUUAAAUUCUGGUAAAAAUGUGGGCUGACCAGUGAAAUGCCAAGUUCGAAUCCAGUUCAUGCAUAUACCAGUGUGAAACAUCAAACCAAAUAAUGACAAACACCAAGCAUUUUUAAAGCAAAAACUUCAUUAGUAC
rnacentral:lncRNA from 1 species